UGUGAUUAAUUUCAAGAAUUUUGUUUCCAGAUGCACCGAGCAGUUGGCAGCACGGGCAGAUUUAUUAUGACUAAGCACCACAUGACUGUUAACUUAGUUCAAGUGUCAAGAGUGGAAGGCAUCUUUGAAUAGCUGAUGAUCAGAGUUCAGACUGCCACAGACUGCCCCCUGCCAUAAGAUGAUCAUGAAUGACCUUACUGAUGAUGAUGAUGAGGAGGAGGAGGAGG